rnacentral:misc_RNA from 1 species
UGCAAACUUUUUUUUUUUUUUACUAUAAAAGAAAUAAUUUGUUAUAUUACAGAUGAAUUGGGUUUUAUUGUGGUUAAUAAACAGUAAAUUACAAAUUCAUGUGUUAAAUUGGUCAUUAGUUAAUGUUGGGGCGAACAUGCCUAAUAGGUUCAAGGGGAAAAUUAAACUUUAAUUGCUGAACCAGGAUGAAAUGACAUUCUACAUCUACUCAUCACAACCAAAGGCAAAAUCCUUUAGAAAAAAUAGGUGAUUGAAUUAACAAGUAAAAACUUGCAAUCCAAAACUAGAAUCCUGCCAAAAAUAAUUAUGUUUAAAUGCCUUAACUCUAGUUUCAAUGAUGAUAAAUCCCAUAAUAAACCUAUAUUAUUUACUGAAUGGAACACAAACAGAUAGUCAAGCGAUAAGCCAAAGAAAAUGAUGAAAGGAAACAAACCAACAAUGUAAACAUGACAAAUUUAAUAUAAAACUGCUGUUUGAACAAUUCUUAAAAUUUGAAGGGCACACUUGACCAUUCUAAUUAAAACUUUCAUACCUGCUGCCAGUACUUUACCAUCU